rnacentral:rRNA from 1 species
GACGAACGCUGGCGGCGUGCUUAACACAUGCAAGUCGAACGGAAAGGCCCCUUUGGGGGUACUCGAGUGGCGAACGGGGGAGUAACACGGGAGUAACCUGCCCUUGAUAUCGGGAUAACUUCAGGAAAGUGGGGCUAAUACCGGAAAGGAAUCCUUGCUGCAUGGUGGGGGUGGGAAAGCUCCGGCGGUUUUGGAUGGACUCGCGGCUUAUUGGCUGGUUGGUGGGAUAGUGGCUUACCAAGGCGUUGACGGGUAGCCCGACAGAGGGGGCGACCGGCGACAUUGAGACUGAGAUGCGGCAGAGACUGGUACGAGAGGCAAAAGUGGGGAAUAUUGCACAAUGGGCGGCGGGCUGAUGCAGAAAGGCUGCGGGCUGGAUGACGGCCUUCGUGUUGUAGACCGGUUGCAGCAGGGGCGAAGCUUGUGGUGACGGUACCUGAAGAAGAAGCACCGGCUAACUACGUG